rnacentral:piRNA from 1 species
UGUAUAAUAUGUGGCUGUCCUACAACUAGC